AUCCGUCCCUUCUCCGCACAUCCUCUUCACCUCAUCGGCAUCCCAGCCAUCAGGAUAUAUCAUACAGCCCAACACCAGACACGUACCUGUGAGAGAAAGCAGGCAUUGUGAGUCUUCCAGGUUAGCAGUGAAGGAUGAAAAAAGGUGCUUCCUUGCGCUCGUCUUCCCCUGACAUCGCUUGACUUGGCAUUUGUUUGAAAUGUCUUUUACAUCCCAGCCAAUGGAAGGAGAAGAAAGAAGCACCAAGGACGAUAAGGAAAAGAGAGAAGAUGGAUGGAGAGAAGAGAAGAUAAUGCAAGGUUAAAAGACUUCCUGUCUCUCCUUGCCUCUUUCUCGCUAAGCUGCAGUUGUUUGCUGCUUAAUGUAUUGUCAAGGCAGGAAUAGAGUAACGCCUCAGGGUUUGUGUUUCAUCCUGAGAAUGGCAGCUUGUUGUUUUUCCUUCCAGAGAGGGAUGAAUGGUGGGAAAGAAUAGAAGAAAAGAGAAUAAGAGAGAAAAACCCCUCGCUGCAUUCACGAUGAUGCAAAUGCAUCAGUGGGAGUGCUGCAGAAUCAAUGCCUCUGUUACGGACAUUGUAGGAUCCCACAGGCGACAAGGUAAAGCACCCCACUGUCCAAACGGCACGAGCAGCAAUAACAUCUGCUCCCCGCGGAGCCUAGGUGAACCAUGCAUGGCAUCAAACAUUCAUACUUCCCUCAAGGGACGGCAGUCGAUUUCUGAGAGAUGGGUCUCCAGGAUGAACUUCUGAGAAAACCCAGCCACCAGCCAAUUACGGUGAUUACCGAUUCGGUUUUUGUGAGAGCUGCCCGGACGUCCUGUUAAACGUCUCCUUUCGUAUUCCAUUGAAGUGGAAAAUGGCACAAGGGUUGACUUCCAUCCUUGCAUGAAUCACACCCCUGGCUCUUGGCUACACCCUACCCGGGAAACCUCCGAAUGAUGCACAGUCACUCACUCACCUGCUGCCAGCUGCAUCCACCCACAGAUCUUAUACACAGUGGCU